rnacentral:rRNA from 1 species
CCUACGGUGGGCAGCAGUGAGGAAUAUUGGUCAAUGGUCGGGAGACUGAACCAGCCAAGCCGCGUGAGGGAUGAAUGUACUGAGUAUCGUAAACCUCUUUUGUCAGGGAACAAAGGCGGGGACGUGUCCCCGUUUGAGUGUACCUGAUGAAUAAGCAUCGGCUAACUCCGUGCCAGCAGCCGCGGUAAUACGGAGGAUGCGAGCGUUAUCCGGAUUUAUUGGGUUUAAAGGGUGCGGAGAUGGUUUGUUAAGUCAGCGGUGAAAGUUUGGGGCUCAACCGCAGCAUUGCCUUUGAUACUGGCAGUCUCGAGUAGAGGUGAAGUAGGCGGAAUGCGCGGUGUAGCGGUGAAAUGCUUAGAUAUCACGAAGAACUCCGAUUGCGAAGGCAGCAUGCCAGCUCCACACUGACGCUGAGGCACGAAAGCGUGGGUAUCGAACAGGAUUAGAUACCCUUGUAGUC